AAGAGUAUGACGAGAAACUUUGAUACUGUAAUUAAAACAAAUUGGGCCAUAAUGGAGGCCCAUGAUAUUAUAAACGUGAAAGCUGCUCGACGUCAUGGUUUUCUGAUAGGAGAAGUUUGAUCGUGUACCGGAUUGUUUCAAAACCGGUUGACUGAAGCUAUAUGGUUUUAAUUAAACGGGUCGGGUUUGCCCAUCUUCUCAUUCAAGAAGGACCAAAUCGACCCUUCUUCUUCGACCUUGUAUCAUCCAUCAACUGAAUCAAACAAAACAAGUUCUGUAAUUUUUUCCCCUGUUCGAAUCUCUAUCAUUCCGAACUUGAAGAUGCCGUCCGAAUCUCUAAGCCUUGUCGGAUUCUCUCCGACGUCUCCGAUCAGUGAAGGUGAGGAAGAAGAAGAUCUUUUGAGGUAAGCAUUCCAGAGAAAACCCCCAGCUUCAAUCUCAUGGAGUUGAUCCUCUCAUAAAGGUUGCUUUCUUUGCCGACGUCUUUUUUUGAGAGAUAACGUGGAACUUUGAAGUUUCAAACAUAUUGGGCCGUAAUGGAGGCCUAUGAUAUAUAUUUUUUGUUAAGAGGCCAAUGAUAUUAUAAGCCUAAAAAACUGCUUCACGUCAUAUAGUUCUGGUAGGAGAAAUUUGAUCGUACCGGAGCGUUCCAGACCGGUUGAACCAAGCUAUGGUUUUUUAAUUAAGGGUUAUUUUUAAUUAACGGAUACAAUUUCGGGUCGGGUUUGCCCAUCUUCUCAUUCCAGAAGGACCAAAACCCUUCUUCUUCUCCCCUGUAUCAAAAACAAGUUCUGUAAAAUUUUCCCCUGUUCGAAUCUCUAUCAUUCCGACCUUGAAGAUGAACUCAAUCGCCGUCCGAAUCUCCAAGCCUUGUCUGAUUCUCUCCGACGUCUUCGAUCAAUGAAGGUGUGGAAGAAGAAGAUCUUUUGAGUUAAGCAUUCCAGAGAAACCCCAACUUCAAUCUCAAGGAGUUGAGUUAGUUUUUCCAUAAAGAAGAUCCUAAAGAAUGGAUGAUCAGUCAUGAUCAGGCAGUAUGUUUUGUUUGAUCAGAUGCUUCUAGGUGCAACUAAUCCAGCCAAAGUCAGCUCAGUGGCAUAGUGUUUCAGUGCACAACCAAGUGUUUGGCUCUUGCGCGUGUAAUCAACCAAGCAUCCAUUGCAGCUCAUCGGCUUUAUGUUGAAGGGUAUAUAAAUAUUAGACCAGCAGUGAAUUGAAGACUAUUCUUGUGUUCAUAAUGAUGGUAUGCAUAAUACAUAUAUCCCUUUUUAGUCUCUUCUGCUUAUAUUGUUUGAUCUAUGAUCAUCUGUUUGUUGUUGACUUAUGCUCUGGUUAUGUGAAAAGUUCAUCUUCCGAGCAAAUUUGAUUCGUUGGGCUUAGACGUGAUUAGAUUGUGACUU